rnacentral:lncRNA from 10 species
ACACAUGAAAAGAGCUCGAUUGUCAGUGUUAGGGAGACAGACGUUUUCAGCACUGGACAGCGAGUCUCAGGCCUGAGGGUUCAGGGCUGGGGAGUCAGGAGAGGUCUGGUCAUCUAGAAGGGCAGAGCUCUCAUGUUGGAGGCAGGAGAUGGACGAAAACAAACCUGGCUGGAGAAAGAGAGGGAUCAAGAUGAAACUGGAAAAUUUAUUUUGUAUUGGAAAUUCUGAUUAUUUUUUCUUUCCUUACUAUCUUAACAGAGAUUUUCAUGUCUAAAUAGGAAUCCUUUAUUUUCAGACUUGUUAUCACUCAUCAUAAAAGCAAUCCUUCUCUGCUUUCCUGAUGUCUGCCUUUCUCUGCUUGUCUGACACAAGUUUCCCUGCGGUUCAUACAGAUUUGAUGCCUCUAUUCAUCUUCCAGCUCCUUCUGCGGCUUAGCUUUCCUCCUUCCUUCCCUCACUGUAAUUGGAUCGCUCAUCUCCGGCAGGAAAUCUUGCCAAACUGGAGUUUGCUCCCGCUCACCUAGGGAAAAUCACCUGGUAAGGUCAUCAGGAUGCUGCAUCUGGCCAUUGUCUCCUCAGCUCCCUGCUAGCUGCUGACUAAACUCUAAUUUGGUGUUGAGAUUGCUUUUGCACUGGGCUUCUUUCACUAAGUGUGUUUAAUCUGCUGUGAAAUUGUUUUCAUGGUUGCAGUCAGUGUUAUAGUAACAGUUUAACAAUGUGCAUUUCUUUGCUUUGCAAAGGGUCUUGGCAGUCUCUAUGCAAAUUAGCACUUGUCUAAUGUCAUUAUGCAUGGUUCCUGGGAGAGCAGCAACUGGAAUCCUGGAUAAACUUGUCCACUCAGUCUGGGGGAUAAGGAGACUGGGAUAAAGAAGCAGAAACUCUCUCACGGAUGGAUGGACCAGGCCUUACCUUGACGUAUGUGAUCUUCCCUUUAACCUGUGACCUUGUGUUUGGGACGGUAGUAAGAAGAUUUCAUUAAACCAGCUGAACUUUUAUCAUCUGAGGCCGAAUGUCAAACUCUACCCUGAAAUGCAACAUAGUGGGCUUAGACUGGUGUAAGAAAGUAUGUUUUGAUUCGGGUUAGUUGUGGAAGCUAUAUUUCAGGUGGAAGCAUAGGGUACAUUGGGGUUAGAGACUUAGCCUAUGAUAUUGUAAGAAAGGGGGAGUGAGGGGCUAUAUUGUCCAACAAUUGUAAUGUAUAUUUAGUUCUCCUAAUUCUGGCAACAAUUCUGCAAAGUUAGAUGCAGAGAUUGCAUUCCCUUGGAAGCUUACUCUGAGAUGGAGUUCGGAAAGCAGAAUGCUUAUUGUGAAGAUAAAUAAUUCAAAUUAAAGCUGUUGGAACUUUAAAGUAUUUUGAGCCUCUAAGGGAAUGUGAAUUGUGAGACCUGAGUCAUGUAGCAUGCAGCUACAGCUUCUGUUCCUUCCUGUAAAUGAUAAGAAAAGGCCUUGUGGCACCAGAGAGCAGACCCCCUCAGAUUGUCACCCCUCCUCAGAAAGCGCUGGAGCACUGUUCCUUAGAAUGUAGCAAACUGUGAGCAAUCACAUCCCUGCAACUGUGUACUGGCCAUGUAUGGAAAUGUGUGAUCCUGCCAAACCUCUUUGUUUCUGCCUAUAUUAAUAAAACCUUAAUUUCCUCACUAGGGAGGCACUGACCCC